AACGGAAACGAUGGGAGCUUGCUCCCAGGCGUCGAGUGGCGGACGGGUGAGUAAUACUUAGGAAUCUGCCCAGUAGUGGGGGACAACUCGAGGAAACUCGAGCUAAUACCGCAUACGCCCUACGGGGGAAAGCGGAGGAUCUUUCGGGACUUCGCGCUAUUGGAUGAGCCUAAGUCGGAUUAGCUUGUUGGUGAGGUAAAAGCUCACCAAGGCGACGAUCCGUAGCUGGUCUGAGAGGACGAUCAGCCACACUGGGACUGAGACACGGCCCAGACUCCUACGGGAGGCAGCAGUGGGGAAUAUUGGACAAUGGGGGCAACCCUGAUCCAGCAAUGCCGCGUGUGUGAAGAAGGCCUGCGGGUUGUAAAGCACUUUCAGUAGAGAAGAAAAGCCUGGGGUUAAUACCCCUGGGUCUUGACGUUACCUACAGAAGAAGCUCCGGCUAACUCCGUGCCAGCAGCCGCGGUAAUACGGAGGGAGCGAGCGUUAAUCGGAAUUACUGGGCGUAAAGCGCGCGUAGGCGGCUUUGUAAGUCGGAUGUGAAAGCCCUGGGCUCAACCUGGGAAUGGCAUUCGAUACUGCAUAACUAGAGUAUGGUAGAGGGAAG
rnacentral:rRNA from 1 species